rnacentral:rRNA from 1 species
AUUGAACGCUGGCGGAAUGCUUUACACAUGCAAGUCGAACGGCAGCACGGACUUCGGUCUGGUGGCGAGUGGCGAACGGGUGAGUAACAUAUCGGAACGUAUCCAAUAAUGGGGGAUAACGAGUCGAAAGAUUCGCUAAUACCGCAUACGCACUACGGGGGAAAGCUGGGGACCUUCGGGCCUGGCGUUAAUGGAGCGGCCGAUACCUGAUUAGCUAGUUGGUGAGGUAAAGGCUCACCAAGGCGACGAUCAGUAGCUGGUCUGAGAGGACGACCAGCCACACUGGAACUGAGACACGGUCCAGACUCCUACGGGAGGCAGCAGUGGGGAAUUUUGGACAAUGGGCGCAAGCCUGAUCCAGCCAUUCCGCGUGAGUGAAGAAGGCCUUCGGGUUGUAAAGCUCUUUCGCAAGGGAAGAAAACUUAGCCACUAACAUUGGUUGAGGUUGACGGUACCUUGAUAAGAAGCACCGGCUAACUACGUGCCAGCAGCCAGCCGCCG